CGCAGCCUUGUCAAAUGCGGCACUCGCCUACUCCACAGCAAGGGCUGGCCCGCUUGGCUGCCAAUCAACCUCUGUCCCUUGUGGGCCCCACCCCUCGCUCUGUGGGGCGCUGGGGAUAAACCAAUGCUGCAGACAAGC